AGAAAAGUAAGCUAAAACUAAGCUAAUAGGUUCAUACCCUGUGUAUGGGAUUUAUAUCCCCUUUUCUA
rnacentral:tRNA from 1 species